AUUGAACGCUGGCGGCAGGCCUAACACAUGCAAGUCGAACGAGUGGCGGACGGGUGAGUAAUGCCUGGGAAACUGCCCGAUGGAGGGGGAUAACUACUGGAAACGGUAGCUAAUACCGCAUACCCUCGGAUGUGCCCAGAUGGGAUUAGCUAGUAGGUGGGGUAACGGCUCACAUAGGCGACGAUCCCUCGCUGGUCUGAGAGGAUGACGGGCCACCUGGGAAGUAGGACCCGGUCCAGACUCCUACGGAGGGCAGCGUGGGGAAAUAUUGCACAAUGGGGGCAAGCCUGAUGCAGCAAUGCCGCGUGGAUAUGGAGGGCCUUGGGUUUGAAAAGUACUUUCAUCGAGGAGGCGUUACUCGCAGAAGAAGCACCGGCUAACUCCGUGCCAGCCGCCGCGGUAAUAC
rnacentral:rRNA from 1 species